CUCCGCGCGACCCGGCGGGCCCGCCUCCGCCGCCGGGUGCACGCACAGCCUGCGCCUCGUGCCGGAGCAGAGCAGAGGCCAGGAUGCGGAGUUGUGCACUUUGAGCCGGCCCCAUGACCCUGAGCACCUUGGCCCGCAAGAGGAAGGCGCCCCUCGCUUGCACCUGCAGCCUCGGUGGCCCCGACAUGAUUCCUUACUUCUCCGCCAACGCGGUCAUCUCGCAGAACGCCAUCAACCAGCUCAUCAGCGAGAGCUUUCUAACUGUCAAAGGUGCUGCCCUUUUUCUACCACGGGGAAAUGGCUCAUCCACACCAAGAAUCAGCCACAGACGGAACAAGCAUGCAGGCGAUCUCCAACAGCAUCUCCAAGCAAUGUUCAUAUUACUCCGCCCAGAAGACAACAUCAGGCUGGCUGUAAGACUGGAAAGUACUUACCAGAAUCGAACACGCUAUAUGGUAGUGGUUUCAACUAAUGGUAGACAAGACACUGAAGAAAGCAUCGUCCUAGGAAUGGAUUUCUCCUCUAAUGACAGUAGCACUUGUACCAUGGGCUUAGUUUUGCCUCUCUGGAGCGACACGCUAAUUCAUUUGGAUGGUGAUGGUGGGUUCAGUGUAUCGACGGAUAACAGAGUUCACAUAUUCAAACCUGUAUCUGUGCAGGCAAUGUGGGUUGACAGGGGUUCAAGAAACAAACACUGUGAUGUACUAUUGGUGGAAGAAUGAACUGGAGCAGCCUUUCUGGAGAGUGAUUUGCCAAUAUGCCUUAUCAUUUUGCAUGAUCUUUGUCCUAGUAACUCUAUUUCUAUGGAUUUACUCUAAGUUUGUAAACAUGGAUGUGUGCAAAGAUUUUAGCUCUAAGAAUGUUUGUCAGUGUUCUAAUAAUAGCAAAAAAUAAAAAACAAAUGAUUGAAAAA
rnacentral:sRNA from 1 species